GUCCCUGUAGAGCAAUGGAUAGCUCCCUGAUCUUCUAAUUCAAAGGCCGUGCGUUUGAAUCCCACCUGGGAUG